AUGAACGCUGGCGGCGUGCCUAAUACAUGCAAGUCGCGCGAACAGACGAGGAGCUUGCUCCUCUGACGUUAGCGGCGGACGGGUGAGUAACACGUGGAUAACCUACCUAUAAGACUGGGAUAACUUCGGGAAACCGGAGCUAAUACCGGAUAAUAUAUUGAACCACAUGGUUCAAUAGUGAAAGACGGUUUUGCUGUCACUUAUAGAUGGAUCCGCGCCGCAUUAGCUAGUUGGUAAGGUAACGGCUUACCAAGGCAACGAUGCGUAGCCGACCUGAGAGGGUGAUCGGCCACACUGGAACUGAGACACGGUCCAGACUCCUACGGGAGGCAGCAGUAGGGAAUCUUCCGCAAUGGGCGAAAGCCUGACGGAGCAACGCCGCGUGAGUGAUGAAGGUCUUCGGAUCGUAAAACUCUGUUAUUAGGGAAGAACAAAUGUGUAAGUAACUAUGCACGUCUUGACGGUACCUAAUCAGAAAGCCACGGCUAACUACGUG
rnacentral:rRNA from 1 species